rnacentral:lncRNA from 1 species
GUGACUGAGAAAGGCGGAUACCACGGUUACCGCAAAAUUCCAAGCAAAUGUCGGACGAAAUUUUAUUUCAAUUUUUUUCGACCAUAAACUAAAAAAUUCGAGUAUUUGACAACAUGCCUACUGUAUUAUCUCCCUAACAUAUGUCAAAAGUUCAGAACAAAGUUCAUUGGUUCUUGGGAAGUUCAAGAACAAUGAACAUUGGUUUUUGAAAACCCAAACCUUUUAAGUUUGAUCAAAUUUGUAGAGAAAUAUAUCAAAAUCCAUAAUAUCAAAUCGGUAUUUUUAAAUUCAUCACGAAAUGAACUUCCAUACUUUUUUGUUUAAUAUUGUGAAUGUCGAUAUUUUUGCUCUAAACUUGGUCAAAGUUAAAGAAAUUUGACUUUCUAAACAACUAAUACCCCUUAUAUUUUAUAACUGAUGAAGCUCUACAUAUAUUUGGUCUAACUUAGAAAUAGUUGACCUUUCAACUGAGUGUAUACGCUAUCUAUUUAGGGACGGAGGGAGUAGAUUUUAGAUUGAUCUUGCUGAUAUGCUCCAGCACAAACAAACUGAUGCAUGAACAUACUACAUGAACAUGGUUUAGACGGUUGCAUCAUCUUUGAAUAGUUUUCUCAAUGUAAAAGGCCCAAUUGCUGACCUGUUCAAUGCACUUAGAAUGAGAUUAAAUCUACUCAUAAGCUAAGUGGUUGCAGUGUGCUUCCAAGAUUACAUCUACUCAUGAUGCUGCUGUAGUGAGCAGAUCCUAUCUUAAGAUAAUAUCUACUGUACUUAUUAUGUCAUGGCGCCUAUCCUUCCCCAAGUUGUGAAAUUUCUGAUCAUCCACCUGCCUGAAUAGUCAAUAUCGAUGCCAUGCAUCACACACCUACUCCUACCUAGUUAGAGUAAGGACAGAGGCGAGAGACCAAAAAUUGUACAGAGUUCCCUUCCAAUAGAUAGAUAAUUAAGCAAUUAUUAAACACAGCCACUAAACUAAGGAGAUCAAUCUUUGGACCAUAUUUGUGUCACAAUCUCUACCCAGAAGAAGAAUCGCACGUGAUUAUGUAGUUUAUAAGCAGGACCGGGAGAAUAAACGAAUCGGAUACCAAAACCACCUAGAAAGCUUAAUUAAGGAUAUGUAGUUCAUAAUGCAAUCUCUCAAUGUUUAUUUAAGGAUAUGUUUCAACAAUUUAUUGUUGUUCAGUCAACCUAAAUUAAGCUUGGAAAAGUAUGCUGGUAAUCAAGCAGAUUGUACCUCCUACAUUCAACAUGAUAGCACAGGAGCAUCUCCCAGAACUGAACUUAAUGAACAGAUGAUUGUAGAUUGAAUGCAGAACCAGGAUGUCACCACUUACAAAAUAUUUACCCUAAAAAACAACGGAUGGUGAGAUUGUUCUUGACUUCUAUGAACUCUAACACUCGAAUUAUCAAUGGAAAUAAAGCACACAAGUGGAUAAAAAGGCCAAAGCUGGUGUGUUUUUUAGCCGAGCGACACGAUCUGCACCUGAUCAGGUCCUCGGACCUUUGGGUAGCUCUUGGUUGCUGUAAGUAAAACUAUUUGAUGCUCGGCUUCAACUUGUCUAAAGUUUCCUCACAAAAAAAAAAGGGGAAGUUAAGUCACUAACAUGAUCAUUG